rnacentral:rRNA from 1 species
CGAACGGGUGAGUAAUGCGUGACCAACCUGCCCCAUGCUCCAGAAUAGCUCUUGGAAACGGGUGGUAAUGCUGGAUGCUCCAACUUGCGCAUGUCUUGUUGGGAAAGUGUUUAGUGGCAUGGGAUGGGGUCGCGUCCUAUCAGCUUGUAGGCGGGGUAAUGGCCCACCUAGGCUUCGACGGGUAGCCGGCCUGAGAGGGCGGACGGCCACAUUGGGACUGAGAUACGGCCCAGACUCCUACGGGAGGCAGCAGCA